rnacentral:rRNA from 1 species
GGAAGUAAAAGUCGUAACAAGGUUUCCGUAGGUGAACCUGCGGAAGGAUCAUUAACGAACUCUCGAAGGACGCAGUUGCUGCUGGACUUCUCAGAAGUCAACGUGCACACAGUAUCUUUCUUCUCGUUCGAUCAUCUACCCCUAUCUGUGCACCCCUCGUAGGCCGACAUCUCUCGGCCUAUGCUCUUUCCACAAAGCAUCCUUAAUAUAUCAGUGAAUGCGCAGUCGUUCGAGCCUCGUCUCAACGCAACGUUUAUAUAUAACUUUCAACAACGGAUCUCUUGGCUCUCGCAUCGAUGAAGAACGCAGCGAAAUGCGAUAAGUAAUGUGAAUUGCAGAAUUCAGUGAAUCAUCGAAUCUUUGAACGCACCUUGCGCCCCUUGGUACUCCGAGGGGCAUGCCUGUUUGAGUGUCAUCAGACCAUCAACCCGAAAGGCUUUCGAGCUCAUCGGUGUUUGGAGCUUGCGGCGUGCGGGGAUCGCUCUCGCGAGCGCUCCGCUCCUCGCGGAAUACAUCAGCGGAUGUCCACUUGCGGUCCGGCCAUGGCGUGAUAACUGUCUACGCUCUGGCAUGGGUCGCGUGCCCUUGGCUCUGCUUCAAACGGUUGCCAUUCACCCGACGGGGGGAACCAUUGACGAUCUGACCUCAAAUCAGGUAGGAUUACCCGCUGAACUUAAGCAUAUCAAU